AUGGCAACGGGGGCUAGAGGAGGGCAGCCGAGCGUUCUGAGCACAUUACCCAAGGAUUUGCCGCUAGAUUUUCUAAAGACUAUCACCGAUCAGUUCUCAGAGCGUAUACUCGGUACAGGCGCAUUUGGAACUGUUUAUAUGGGGAUUGCGCCAGACGGGCAAAAAAUUGCGGUGAAGAAACUUGCCGAAAAUACACCAAUCGCGCGUGACAAAGUAUUUACUAACGAGGUUCAUAAUAUUAUGGCUCUGCAACUGCAUCAUGAAAAUGUAGUAAAGUUGGUCGGCUACUGCCAUGAAGCCCAGAAGAAAGUGGUGCAGAACAAUGGAAGAUAUAUUGUUGCAGACAUUGUUGAAAGUUUAUUCUGCUACGAGUACUUGCCGCACGGAACCUUCAGAAGAAUCGUAUCUAAUGUAAAAUAUGUAAUGGACUGGGACACACGCUUCAAAAUCAUCAAGGGAAUCUGCCAAGGUUUGGCCUUCCUACACAAGACUAACAUUGUUCAUAUGGAUCUUAAACAUGAGAAUAUAUUGCUGGAUGGUAAGAUGACCCCGAAAAUUGCGGAUUUCGGUCUCUCGAGGCUCUUCGGUCAAGAACAAACACGGAUGAGAAUACAAAAUGUUGUUGGAUCAUAUGGAUACAUAGCUCCAGAAUAUCUAUACAAAGGUGAGUCCACCAAGUCAGACAUAUAUAGUUUGGGCCUAUUAAUCUUGGAGACCACCACAGUUGAGAAAAUUUGUUCCAACAACGAGCCAUCUGCGACGCAAUUUAUAAAAAGUGUACGUGAUAUCUGGACGGAUGAGCACAUAGUGUCUCAGUGCUCACAUCUUGAUGGGGAUCGCCUUCAGCAGAUAAAAGUAUGCAUCAAAAUUGGACUAGAAUGUGUGGAGAUCGAUCGGCAGAAGAGACCUUCCAUAGAAGAGAUUGUCGAUAGGCUCAACGGACUACGGUCAACUGAAAGUUGA
rnacentral:rRNA from 1 species